CCUACGGGUGGCAGCAGUGGGGAAUAUUGGACAAUGGGGGGAACCCUGAUCCAGCCAUGCCGCGUGUGUGAAGAAGGCCCUCGGGUUGUAAAGCACUUUCAGUGAGGAAGAACGCCUGGUGGUUAAUACCCAUCAGGAAAGACAUCACUCACAGAAGAAGCACCGGCUAACUCCGAGCCAGCAGCCGCGGUAAUACGGAGGGUGCGAGCGUUAAUCGGAAUUACUGGGCGUAAAGCGCGCGUAGGUGGCUUGAUAAGCCGGUUGUGAAAGCCCCGGGCUCAACCUGGGAACGGCAUCCGGAACUGUCAAGCUAGAGUGCAGGAGAGGAAGGUAGAAUUCCCGGUGUAGCGGUGAAAUGCGUAGAGAUCGGGAGGAAUACCAGUGGCGAAGGCGGCCUUCUGGACUGACACUGACACUGAGGUGCGAAAGCGUGGGUAGCAAACAGGAUUAGAUACCCGUGUAGUC
rnacentral:rRNA from 1 species